UACGUAGGGUGCAAGCGUUGUCCGGAAUUAUUGGGCGUAAAGAGCUCGUAGGCGGUUUGUUGCGUCGGCUGUGAAAUCCCGAGGCUCAACCUCGGGUCUGCAGUCGAUACGAGCAAACUAGAGUGUUGCAGGGGAGACUGGAAUUCCUGGUGUAGCGGUGAAAUGCGCAGAUAUCAGGAGGAACACCGGUGGCGAAGGCGGGUCCCUGGACAACUCCUGACACUGAGGCACGAAAGCUAGGGGAGCAAACAGG
rnacentral:rRNA from 1 species